CAUUACCCGGAACGCUUUGCGGGACUUAAGCGCUGUCGUGGCGUUUGUGGGGUGAGCUGUGUCUGGCGAAAGAGUUUCGUAAAGCUCCCCCACUUUUGCCCGGCUGAGUGUCGGAAGAAGGCCGGCUUCGAGAAGGGCCCGUGGGUCGCAGGAGCGAGGCUUCACCGCGUCUCCUCGCCCACCCCACACAGAGGCAGAGCAAGGAUGAGGAGGGCCGGGCUGAGUGAAGGAGCUGCUGGCGGCAAUUAUGGCUACAGCAACAGUGGGUACAGUGUAUUUGAGGAAGAAAAUGAGAAGUUAACUGAAAGUUUGCGUUCAAAAGUCACUACCAUAAAAUCACUUUCCAUUGAAAUUGGAUCAGAAGUUAAACAGCAAAAUAAAAUGCUAGCUGAAAUGGACAAUGAAUUUGAUACAACAAGUGGAUUUCUUGGUGCCACAAUGGGUAGACUGAAAACACUCUCCAGAGGAAGCCAAACAAAACUCUUAUGCUACAUGAUGCUGUUCUCACUGUUUGUUUUUUUUGUAAUUUACUGGAUUAUUAAAUUGAGGUGAUGGAUAUUCUCCAAUACGAGAUGAUUUGCGCCACGUCAAGAUCCUAGAAAGGUGAGUGAGGCUGACAGACUUCAGAGAAGUGUGACUAGCCCAAGGUCACCCAGCAGCUGCAUGUGGAGGAGCAGAGACGCGAACCCGGUUCACCAGAUUGAGUCUACCGCUUUUAACCACUACACCACACUGGCUAUUGAGCAGGAUGGACCUAUAGUCUGACUUGGUAUAAGGCAGGUUCCUAUGUUCCUCAGGGGAUAGCUCUGAAUAUUUAACACUUUGUGCCCAUGGAGGCAGCCCAGUCUUUGAAGUGAAUGGGGAAACUUACCAACUGAAUAUAUUCACCCAAUGAGACAAUAUAUGUGUGCCUCCUCCCAUAUGAAAGAACUGCUGGGUUGAAGUAUGUGGGUUGAAAUAACUACAGUAGCUGGUCAAAUUAAUUUGUCCAAGCAAGUGGGAUUUCUAAACUACUUGCAUGAGAAACAAAUUUUUUUUAAAGUGCACUUGUAGUAAGGGACACAUACCCACAAACAAUGUGUCCAUUUGUACAAUCAUAUAGCCAAGAUAUUCCAUGAAAACUCUUGCAUAAUAAUAAUAAUUUAUUAUUUAUAUCUGGCUGGGUUCCCCCAGCCACUCUGGGCGGCUUCCAACAAAACAGAAAUUCUAAAAUACAGAAAUCCAUCAAACAUUAAAAUACAGAAAUCCAUCACACAUUAAAAGCUUCCCUAAACAGGGAAAGUAAAAAGAGUGACACAGAGAAGGAAGCUGACAAAUAGAAAUCCCAGAGCGUGGCAACUGAGGUAAGCAGACUUUUUGUAAAUUCUUUUUUCCACAGCACUGGGGGGGGGGGGAUGUUUCCAUAGCUGAGAGCAAUUUUGGAAAGGUUAACCCAAGAACAAGACAGCUGACGGACUGUCAGCCUGACUAAAGUAUUCCUCUAUGAAGCAACUUGCAGCCCAAACGCAGCAGCCAGAUGCUAUGGGAUAUGAUGGCUGUAGUAACGCAAACUGACCUAUGCGUCAGACGCUUACUAUGCGUCAGACGCAGAAACAUCACCAGGGAGUGAGGUUAAGGGUACAUGCUGCUCAGUUAUGAGAGACAAACCCUACUGUGACAACGUCAUUGAGAACAGUAAUGAAGUCUGAGCAAAAGUAGGAGCAUUUAUUGAAAAGCUUUCCCCGUCCCCAGAAAAAUAAAAUGAAUAAAAUACUGAAUAUCUGGUGGGGGGCCGGGCAAGGGGGAUGAGGAAUGAAGUCAAUCCCUGACUUUCAUUUGAGGAAGCAAAGUUUUUCAAAGGAAUUUACCAAAUACCCUUGCAGAAAGGAAGAAUAGAAAGGCAGGGAGGGGACUGUCUGUAGCAUUUCUGCUACCGCCUGGCCAGGAUUCAAAGAUGGAUACUUGCACAUACAACUGGAACUUUAUAAAUUGCUUUUGGCUGAAGAGUUUCAAUUCCCAAAAGUACGAUUUGCAUUUUAAACUAAACAGCGAACAGAGGUCAUGAUCUUUGCUGAAAGACCGAUGCUUUGCAGCUGGCUCAUAAAUGGGCAUAAUAUAGAACAGGUAAAGAAAGUCCUUCAGAUACCUGGGCAUUGUCUUUCAAGCCAAUGGCAGCUGGAAGGCACAAGCAGAAUUCGCUGAUCUGACAGCCCAAAAGAAUACUUCUGCUAUUUUUUAUUUAAACCGUAGCAGAGGAGUUAAUAAUUUAUGUAAUUAGGUUCUUUCAGGCCAAAUCACUAACCCACUCUUAUGAUGACCCUUAGUUUUACACUAGAGUCGGGGACAUAAUAUAGAGCAAUUCAAUCUAAAUUUCUGAGGACUAUUCUUCAAAUACCCCAUUUCAUGCCAAAUGCUGGCCUAUGUCGAGGUCAGCCUUCAGAAGGCCAAAGCCAGGGCUUGGCUUGCCAUUUUCAACUUUGCCUGAAGCUCACCUUCCACCCAACUGGCUCAGCCCCACUCACCCUUCAGGAUGGCGGUCAGUGCAUGGGUUAAGCCAACCCACAAACGCCAGCUAUAUGGCUUAUCCCUGGGCUCCCUCAUCCCUCUGGGACAUGAAAAAGCUGGAGUGGCUCUGAAACGGCCUACUGUAAGAUGUUGAAUGCCAGCGCAAUUUAGGUUCAACCUCCAACCACACUCUGACUCCAACCACUCAAUAACCCAACUAACUAUCUCUUAGUCAGCAACCCAUAACCUCCCACACUGCUCUGCUUAUGGAGAUCUGCUAGAAACUUCACUGAGCCCCUCUUAUCUGCCAGGUUGAUCAGAAACAUUUUAUGUCCUACUUCUCUCAGACCAAAAUGCAUCUAUCACUCUUAGGGUGGCAAAGUACUGUGUUGCAGAAAGCAACACAUGCCAGGAACUGUUGUUAAGUAACUUUCACCUUUGGAGUUUGUGCUAUGACUAUAAUUUGUUUAAUGCUGAUGACCAUUUUAAUUCAUUUUAUGCUACUUUUAUUACUUUGUUUUAUUUCAUUCCCCCCCUUAUUAUAUACAUAUAGACGAUGUGCUCCUUAUCCUGAUUUCUUAAUGCUGGCCAUCGACUGUAAUAAUAAACACUUGAACUAAACAGUGGCUUGCCUAUUUAGCACGAUUCUUGUGUGGGUGUACACUUUUCUGAAUUCCAUCAGUUGAACUUAAAAUAUCAAAUUGUGAUGUACUGGUUAAAACAGGGUUGUGAAGAAAUAUGUUGGAUGCAUGGAUUUAAUAACGUGAAGAUACCUUCCCCAUAUUUAUAUUAACUCCAAGCGUACAACACCUUGCCGCAAACCAUUAAACCUCAUUUAGGAAUAAGAAUGCAUACCACUGGUAAUUUUUUUAAGAAACAAAACAUUUAAAUCAAAGGUUAUUUCUUCUAUCUAUAUAUUGAUCACAGAGUAUUCACUCACCUGUAGAGUCUGCUCACCAGCACCUCAUUAGUGAACCCCAUUCCUCCCCAGAACUGGAGACAACUAUCUGUUAAUUCCCGAGCUAGACGCCCUGCCUUUAAUUUAGCCAUGGAUGCAAAUUUGGUCACAUCAUUGCCACAGAUAUACAGAGCUAUAAUAAAAGAAAACAUAAAGAAUACAUUUUAAGAAUGCCUAUAUGGAUAUUUUGUUUGCUAGGUUUUAUAGUUAAUUCUGUCUUUCUUCCAUCCAUCAUGGAACCCAAGACGGCAUACUUGCAGUUCCAUUCAAGCAGAUACCACAGCCAGACCUGCUUAGCUUCAGCAAGGUAGUGGCUUAAUGUGUCUCCAUGGAUGAUAAGGCUAUCGAUGGCUGCUAGCCAUAAUGGCUAUGCAUUACCUCCAGAGUCAAAGGUGGUAUGUCUGAAUACCGCUUGCUGGGAUUCACAGGUGGGGAGAGUGGUACUGUUCUGCUUGUGGGUUUUCCAGAGGCAUCUGGCUGGAUGUUGCAUGAGCUGGGCCUUUGAUCUGAUCCAACAAGCAGAUAAAUUCUAACAAAAUAGUGCGGGGGUUUCCCCCCAAUACUGUCUAUGCAUGAAUGUAACAGACUCCAACUUGCACAACAGGAGUUUAUCUUCUCCAGCCAGCAAGCUCCCGAGCACCCUCAAAAUCU